UUCUCCUGCUCCCCACCCCCUCACCCCACCCCCUGUUGCAGAGAAGGAACGUUGCAUUGCUAGGGACUGGAUGUUGGGAUCAACCUGAGACUCAGAAGAGCAGCAGGGUUUGUAGGAGAAGCCAAAAAGGAGUGACUCAGCAAAAUAAACCGUCACCUGUGGAUAUUCUGAACUGCUAUUUUGGGACCCUGGGUGACUGACUACCCGGCUCUGGUGACAGGUGCUUGGUAUACAAAACCUUGUUUCCCACAUGCCCGCCGUAAUUAUUUAUGCUCUUCAGCUUACGGAAGGAGCUGCCGUGGGCGGUCCCCGAUAGCUGCGUCGUCCACUGUGAGACUCCUAAUGUGCCCUGAAGGGCCAUCAGGAACCAGAGGGGAUGCUCAAGUCUUAGGGACCCCUCUGCCCUCCAGGAGCACUUCCCUUCUGGUCAAGAAAGGGUACGGGACCAGUACAGACCCGCAUUAUCAAUCCUGGUUCCUGCUCAAGCCUCAGCCAAGGAGCCUCAUCUGGGUGAUAGCUCAGGGGUUAGGUGGUUGGGGGGGGGGGGCAUGAAAGCUCGUUUUGCUCACCACCUUCUCUAGGACAGCGUCUGAAUUCUAGUGACAGAGAGCGUGUCAUUUUGUAAGCAACCCAUUGCUAAGCCAUCCAUAUUAAGUUUAAGACGUCUUCCUUAAAUUGAACUGUAAUUCUUGCCUUGAAACAUGAUGUUUCUGUUCACACGCUGUUCUGAGCCCUGUAGCCACAGAGAUCAAGUCCGGUCCAGUGUUCACUGGGCAGUCCUUGCGCUGUGUGAGGAGUUAGGAUACCUUGCCCACUUGACUUUUCAAGUUCAGGAGUUUACUAAGGGAUUAGAAAGCAGGGUAUUCUUCUCAGCUAUUUCUGUUAUGCCUCUCCUGCUUGGUGGAUGGAACCAUCAGAUCCCCACAGUGUGCUGGCAAAGCCAGUCCCCAGACAUGAAACACGACACCGCUGAAGAUUUUGACUGGAGGACUGUUACACAUUAACCCAGGUCCUUUCAAUAUGAUCAGGAAUACUCGGGUGCCUUGAAUGAAAAUGUGAUGGCAGUGCUUCCAAGAUUGCUCUCAAGCCUAGGAUUCUUUCUCGGUGAUGCGGACAGAACAAGGAGGUGCUUGGAGACUGAAGCAGUUCUUCGAUAGAUUCCCAACAAGCCUAUUACUGGCUCUGCUGGAUCUCCCCCUCUUUCAUCCUAGCCUCAGGAAAUGACUUACUCCAUUGGUCCUCGCUUCUCACUUGUCAUUCUUUCUGCCAGAACGGCUUCCGCAGAGAUAUUGCUUAAACAGAACAAAGUCCAAAGAAAACUUGAUUUAACCAAAUCAAACUCCGAUGCCAAGUCUCAAAAGUGAAAAAAAAAAAAAGUCUACUUGCAAGAAAAAAAGAAGUCACCUUGCCUAGAAAGGAAGUUUGAAUGUUGUACUUUAAAUUCUUAGAAGAGGAAAUAAAAUUGCCAUUUAAAUAUGUUAAUGAACUUUGGCAUGACUUGCUAUAUGAAUCAGCGAGUUUCAAAAUUAAAAUUACUUUUGAAUCCCCAGGUCAAAAAGCAAAGGCCUCCUCUUCGAUUUGAUUACUUUGAACACCUAUACCUAAUUAACCUUUAAAAAAAAAUCCCUUAUAAAUUACACCUGGAAUAUGAUGAAAUGUGACAUGAAAUACCGUGAUAAACAUUAAUCGGUUCAACAGAGGACAAUGAAGUCUGUCCUCUCAGGUAAUCUUCACAAAAACUGGAGAACUGUCAGUCCCACCCCUCGAAGGCUGCCACUGAAACCCUGACUGUCCUCAGAUCCCGGCCUUGCCGCGUUCACGACGGCGGGGAUUUCCGUGUCGGUGACACACGCCACUUCCGGCCGACGGUGAGAGUCAGUGACGUGGCAGGAGAGGCCGAGCACGGUCCUUCGGGCCGGGACACUCGGAGCUGUCAAGUGGCUUCAGGGCAGCCCCGCCGGGAGAGAAGAGCUCACCGACUGCG